UUUUUACAAACAUGUCCUUUUGACUAUAAUUAAUAUAAGGUUUAACCUGCCCAAUGACUAAUAAAGGUUUAAUGGCCGCAGUAUCUUAACUGUGCAAAGGUAGCAUAAUCAUUUGUCUUUUAAUUGGAGACUAGUAUGAAUGGUUUGAUGAGGAAUAUACUUUCUUUAUUUUAUUUUAAUGAAUUUAAUUUAUAAGUUAAAAAGCUUAUAUUUUAUUAAAAGACGAGAAGACCCUAUAGAGCUUUAUUAUUUAUAUAUUUAUAUAAAUAUAUUUAAUAUAAAUUGUUAUAUAUAUAUUAUAAUUUUAUUGGGGUGAUAAUUAAAUUGUUCUAACUUUAAUUUUUAUUAAUCUCAUAAAUUAAUGAUUUAAGUUGAUCUUGUAUUAUUGAUUAUAAGACUAAGUUACCUUAGGGAUAACAGCGUAAUUCUAUUGGAGAGUUCAUAUUAAUAAUAGAGUUUGCGACCUCGAUGUUGGAUUAAAAUAAGUAUUGGGUGUAGAAGCUUAAUAACUAAGUCUGUUCGACUUUUAAAUUUUUACAUGA
rnacentral:rRNA from 1 species